rnacentral:rRNA from 1 species
UACGGGGGGGGCAAGCGUUGUUCGGAAUUACUGGGCGUAAAGGGCUCGUAGGUGGCCAACUAAGUCGGACGUGAAAUCCCUCGGCUUAACCGGGGAACUGCGUCCGAUACUGGACGGCUUGAGUUUGGGAGAGGGAUGUAGAAUUCCAGGUGUAGCGGUGAAAUGCGUAGAUAUCUGGAGGAAUACCGGUGGCGAAGGCGGCAUCCUGGACCAAUACUGACGCUGAGGCGCGAAAGCUAGGGGAGCAAACGGG